rnacentral:rRNA from 1 species
UGCAAGUCGAGCGGGCAUAGCAAUAUGUCAGCGGCAGACGGGUGAGUAACGCGUGGGAACGUACCUUUUGGUUCGGAACAACUGAGGGAAACUUCAGCUAAUACCGGAUAAGCCCUUACGGGGAAAGAUUUAUCGCCGAAAGAUCGGCCCGCGUCUGAUUAGCUAGUUGGUGAGGUAAUGGCUCACCAAGGCGACGAUCAGUAGCUGGUCUGAGAGGAUGAUCAGCCACAUUGGGACUGAGACACGGCCCAAACUCCUACGGGAGGCAGCAGUGGGGAAUAUUGGACAAUGGGCGCAAGCCUGAUCCAGCCAUGCCGCGUGAGUGAUGAAGGCCCUAGGGUUGUAAAGCUCUUUUGUGCGGGAAGAUAAUGACGGUACCGCAAGAAUAAGCCCCGGCUAACUUCGUGCCAGCAGCCGCGGUAAUACGAAGGGGGCUAGCGUUGCUCGGAAUCACUGGGCGUAAAGGGUGCGUAGGCGGGUCUUUAAGUCAGGGGUGAAAUCCUGGAGCUCAACUCCAGAACUGCCUUUGAUACUGAAGAUCUUGAGUUCGGGAGAGGUGAGUGGAACUGCGAGUGUAGAGGUGAAAUUCGUAGAUAUUCGCAAGAACACCAGUGGCGAAGGCGGCUCACUGGCCCGAUACUGACGCUGAGGCACGAAAGCGUGGGGAGCAAACAGGAUUAGAUACCCUGGUAGUCCACGCCGUACACGAUGAAUGCCAGCCGUUAGUGGGUUUACUCACUAGUGGCGCAGCUAACGCUUUAAGCAUUCCGCCUGGGGAGUACGGUCGCAAGAUUAAAACUCAGAGGAAUUGACGGGCGCCCGCACAAGCGGUGGAGCAUGUGGUUUAAUUCGACGCAACGCGCAGAACCUUACCAGCCCU